rnacentral:rRNA from 1 species
GAGUAACACGUGGGCAACCUGCCUCAUAGAGAGGGAUAGCCUUUCGAAAGGAAGAUUAAUACCUCAUAAGAUUGUAGUUUCGCAUGAAACGGCAAUAAAAGGAGCAAUCCGCUAUGAGAUGGGCCCGCGUCGCAUUAGCUAGUUGGUAAGGUAAUGGCUUACCAAGGCGACGAUGCGUAGCCGACCUGAGAGGGUGAUCGGCCACAUUGGGACUGAGACACGGCCCAGACUCCUACGGGAGGCAGCAGUGGGGAAUAUUGCACAAUGGGGGAAACCCUGAUGCAGCAACGCCGCGUGAGUGAUGAAGGUCUUCGGAUUGUAAAACUCUGUCUUUGGGGACGAUAAUGACGGUACCCAAGGAGGAAGCCACGGCUAACUACGUGCCAGCAGCCGCGGUAAUACGUAGGUGGCAAGCGUUGUCCGGAUUUACUGGGCGUAAAGGGAGCGUAGGUGGAUAUUUAAGUGGGAUGUGAAAUACUCGGGCUUAACCUGAGUGCUGCAUUCCAAACUGGAUAUCUAGAGUGCAGGAGAGGAAAGUGGAAUUCCUAGUGUAGCGGUGAAAUGCGUAGAUAUUAGGAAGAACACCAG